rnacentral:rRNA from 1 species
GACGAACGCUGGCGGCGUGCCUAAUACAUGCAAGUGGGACGCAAGGGAACACACUGUGCUUGCACACCGUGUUUUCUUGAGUCGCGAACGGGUGAGUAACGCGUAGGUAACCUGCCUAUUAGCGGGGGAUAACUAUUGGAAACGAUAGCUAAUACCGCAUAAUAUUAAUUAUUGCAUGAUAAUUGAUUGAAAGAUGCAAGCGCAUCACUAGUAGAUGGACCUGCGUUGUAUUAGCUAGUUGGUAAGGUAAGAGCUUACCAAGGCGACGAUACAUAGCCGACCUGAGAGGGUGAUCGGCCACACUGGGACUGAGACACGGCCCAGACUCCUACGGGAGGCAGCAGUAGGGAAUCUUCGGCAAUGGACGAAAGUCUGACCGAGCAACGCCGCGUGAGUGAAGAAGGUUUUCGGAUCGUAAAGCUCUGUUGUAAGUCAAGA